AGGGGGGAAAAAAAAAAUACCGAAAGUACAUUUGCUAUCGGAAAAAUGGCUGAAGGUCUCGUUCUCAAAGGAACCAUGCGCGCCCACACCGACAUGGUAACGGCGAUCGCCACCCCAAUCGACAACUCUGACAUGAUCGUGACGGCCUCGCGUGACAAGUCCAUCAUUGUCUGGCACCUCACUAAGGAGGAAAAGACCUACGGCGUUGCGCGCCGUCGUUUGACCGGCCACUCUCACUUCGUGCAGGACGUCGUCCUCUCCUCGGACGGCCAGUUCGCUCUCUCCGGCUCCUGGGACGGCGAGCUCCGCCUCUGGGAUUUGGCCGAGGGCAAAUCCGCCCGCAGGUUCGUCGGCCACACUAAGGACGUUCUCUCCGUCGCCUUCUCGAUCGACAACCGUCAGAUUGUAUCGGCCUCUCGUGACCGUACGAUCAAGUUGUGGAACACGCUCGGCGAGUGCAAGUACACGAUUCAAGAGGGAGACGCUCACACUGAGUGGGUUUCUUGUGUUAGGUUCAGCCCCAACACGCUUCAGCCCACUAUCGUUUCC
rnacentral:lncRNA from 1 species